rnacentral:lncRNA from 1 species
CUCGUAUAAUCUUUUCUAUCUCGACUGAGCCAAAUGUGAUUUGGCUCACCCAAAGAACCUUGAGAAGGUUUCUCUCAGUUUGACUGGAGAAAGUCCAACUCAAAAAAAUCUUGUCUUAAUUCAUGAGAUGAAUUUAAGACAACACCUGCCAAUUCCUAUCACCUACCAUUUCCAUUUUAGAACAUCAGUCAAACGUUGACUUAUGGAUCUUGAACUGAAGGCCACU